UUCCUGAUAAAUAUGCGAUUUAACUCCCUGAAAUUAGACGUUUCCUUGUCCCAUAAAGUUAAACGUACCAGUUUGGAUCUACAAAUAAUUAUUGUAUUAUAUUUCAAUUUUUUUUAUAUUUUCUAUAUAUCUAGGGUAUUAGGGUCAUUUUGAGCAUUUUGCUACAUGUCAUCUCUACAAUUAAAAAAAUAAACAUGAGACGGAUAAUUUUAUUUAAUGUUGGUAAUAUCUUAUGCAUCAUCUAUAAAAUAAAUAUAUAUUCAUAUAUAACAUUCCAGAUUUAGUAAUAUUAUUAUUUUUAUAUAAUUAUACAAUUUGUAUUACUAAAGUUUUUUAAAAUAUGCAAUUUUUAAACAUCUAAAUCUAAUCGUAUGAUAUUUAGUUUCUUAUAUAUCUACAAAAUCUUAAAAAUAUUGUUUAGGCCAAAUGUUUGAUAAUUAUACAAUUUUAUAUCAUUUUUUUUAGUUUUAUACAAUUUGAUAUAAUAUAUAUCAAAUCUAUAUUAAAUUUUAUUAAGAUAAUAGUAAAAUCUAUAACAUUUAAUAAAAUUUAUUUUUAAAUAUAAGUUAGAACAACAUUAAGAACCUCAAUUGAAAUAGCAUAAUAAUGGGAUGCGUGAGAAGCUUUGUGAUUCAACACGCCUCCGGUCACUGUGGCGAAAGACUAAACAAAAGCAUGUAAUUUUAUAAAAUAGAAUGAGCUUCUUAGUUUCUUGGUAUCAUAUACUGUAAAUGAAUAUUGGGCUGACUUCAGUAUUGACUGAGAUUCAAAUAAAUUGUUUGGGCUUCGUAAUUGACAUGGAUAUCAGCCCAGUCUGAGAUGAGCUGGUAGAUUGAUUGGCCAUGAAUUUUCUGCCUAUGUGGCACACUUUAGAAGUCUCAAAAAUAGCUCAUUUUAUAUAGUAGAAUUAUAUUUUAGAUAUAGAAUAUGCAUAAAAAACAAAAAAAAUCAGUAGGUUAAUAUAUGAAUAUUACAAUUACGUCAAAUUGCAUUAAGUUAUAAAAUUAUAAAUAUAAUAUUACGUACAGAUAAAAAAUUAUUAUUAAACAUCUAUAUUAUAAUAUAAUAUAUUCUACACUAAAUAUAUUUUACAAAACAUAAAAAUAUAAAUGAAGAUUUUAUAAAAUCAAUGGUUUAUAAAUUUACACUGAACGCAAGUUAAAUCCAACAUCCGUGCGGGAACGCGGGUCAAGAUCUAUUUUUGAAGCUUCUAUUCUUGAAUAAAGCAUUCAAACACAGAGAACAUAAUCAAUCUCCUCCUAUGAAAGUCUUUGGAUCAGCAGCCAAAUCAAAUUCUCCUAUGAAAAUCUUUGGAUCAGUAGCCAAAUCAAAUGGGUCAAAUCUGCCACCUCCGUAAAGCAAAACCUCAUCUUCUUUCUACAUCCCAUUUCUUACUCGAUAACUUACAACAGCUCCCAUCAAAAUCUCCUAAAUGGUCUAAAUAGGCAAGAUGCUUACAACAUUAAGUUUUGAAGUAAAUACACACUUUCGAGGGUUUUGUUUUGUAAACUAAGCGUAAAACAAGUUCAUAUGAACCCACUCAACAGACAAGUUCUUAUAUUUGACCACCCAUCUAUCAGUCACUUUCUUUACGUUUUCAAAUAAUACUUAAACUAUUGUCUACAUAAAAAUAUAUUCAUAUCAUAUUACUGAAUAAAUAAUGUUUCCUCAUAUAUAUGAUCUAUACUAUACUAAAAGCGAGAUAUAAGCUUCUCUUAGAGUGUCCACGUAGGCACAAAAAAUCGUCCAAUCAGAACAUUUUAUUUUCACACGUCACCAUUGUCUGAAACAACGUGGACUUCAUUUUUUUUGUGAGUCCAAAUGUUUAUGUCAAUGGACAAUGGCCCAGAAAGCCCAUUCCGUUUACGUCUUUUCUUUUUCUCUGUUCCUCGACUCUUCUUCAACUUCGUCUCUCUACUUAGUCUGAAGUUUUUUCUUUCAAACUCUUUACCUUCCUUAACGUUCAACGAGGUUCAACGUAUCCUACUAAAUUCCCUUAAUUAAUGUGAUUCUCAUUCAACCCAAUAACAUUCUCGACUUCUCAGUUUCCUUCCUUUCAUAUAUGAUUGGAGAGGAUUGCGAAUGGGAUGAAUCUUCACAAUCACUCUCAAUUAAUUGAUCCUUCGAAAAUGUCUUCCUCCGAUGUUGUUGCGCAAUCCGCCUUCGAUGUUCUCCAACUGGGUAGAUCUUCACAGUUCAUUGUUGCUCGCCUGCUACGUUUUUGGACUCUAAAAACAUCAAGAACUGUAGCAUCAAGCUUUACUCUGGCUUGAAGCCUCAAUCUGCAAGUAUGUUCCUUUUUCUUCUGAAUCUUUUCGAAAGUUUCUGUCUUUAAAUCGAAGCCUCAAUCUGCAAGCUUUUUGACAAAUGGGCAUCAGAAUUUGAAUAGGAGUUCUAUGGCAGGAUCCACAAGAGUUUGCAAUCCAGUACAGGGAAAGCGAGUUGGUCACGGGUGAAGAUGAUGCCUAUAGGUACACCUACAUAAUGGGCUUGCCUAAAACCUUGCAGGUUUUCUUCUUGCUGCCGCUGAAAAGGUACUCUUUAUUUCACUUUCUUUUGAAGCAUGUGGAAACCAAAAUUGAUCUUAUAUGCUAGCUAGACUCUGAGGAACUUGAAGUUGAAUUAUUGUUUUUUGUGAAAGGGUCAACGGUUUGCGAUGCCAUUGUUAAGGAUCGCUCUCCAGUCACCUGCUGGUGCAGCUUGUGGUCAGCUAGUGCAGCUAUAAGCCGCUUAUCUCUAUGGAUUAUAAAAAAUAAUUUUCCUCUCUUAUACUAACAUGGUAAAGCUAUAUAUAUACACUUGCAAAAUUCCUUCAGGCUGAUGAUAUUCAAAAUGAAGCAAAGGAGCUUUCAAGGAUAAGAGAUUACCUCUUCAACUAACUAGCCAAAAAUACAGGACAGCCUGCGGAAAAGGAUCUUCAAAGAUUUGAGCAGAUUGAAAAGGUUCAACUCAGAAGAAGCUAUAGAGUGCGGACUUAUCAUUGUUAGACCACCGCGCAUCAAAGACAACGCUCCUCUCCAAGAUGAAACCUGAGGUCUUGGUUAAUCUGCUUUAUUAACAUUCUGUAAUGUCAAAGUCUUACAAGCUUGGAGUUGUUGUUCUUUGUGCGAUUGUUACCAAAUAAAAUCAUUUAUGUAUAUAGAGUUAUUUAAUUAUCAUUGGAUCUUGAAACCAGUUACGAAUUCAAAAGUUUUUUAUUUAUCGC